rnacentral:rRNA from 1 species
ACGGUGAAGCAGGAGCUUGCUCUUGUGGAUCAGUGGCGAACGGGUGAGUAACACGUGAGCAACCUGCCCCUGACUCUGGGAUAAGCGCUGGAAACGGCGUCUAAUACUGGAUAUGUGACGUGACCGCAUGGUCUGCGUCUGGAAAGAAUUUCGGUUGGGGAUGGGCUCGCGGCCUAUCAGCUUGUUGGUGAGGUAAUGGCUCACCAAGGCGUCGACGGGUAGCCGGCCUGAGAGGGUGACCGGCCACACUGGGACUGAGACACGGCCCAGACUCCUACGGGAGGCAGCAGUGGGGAAUAUUGCACAAUGGGCGAAAGCCUGAUGCAGCAACGCCGCGUGAGGGAUGACGGCCUUCGGGUUGUAAACCUCUUUUAGCAGGGAAGAAGCGAAAGUGACGGUACCUGCAGAAAAAGCGCCGGCUAACUACGUGCCAGCAGCCGCGGUAAUACGUAGGGCGCAAGCGUUAUCCGGAAUUAUUGGGCGUAAAGAGCUCGUAGGCGGUUUGUCGCGUCUGCUGUGAAAUCCCGAGGCUCAACCUCGGGCCUGCAGUGGGUACGGGCAGACUAGAGUGCGGUAGGGGAGAUUGGAAUUCCUGGUGUAGCGGUGGAAUGCGCAGAUAUCAGGAGGAACACCGAUGGCGAAGGCAGAUCUCUGGGCCGUAACUGACGCUGAGGAGCGAAAGGGUGGGGAGCAAACAGGCUUAGAUACCCUGGUAGUCCACCCCGUAAACGUUGGGAACUAGUUGUGGGGUCCAUUCCACGGAUUCCGUGACGCAGCUAACGCAUUAAGUUCCCC